rnacentral:SRP_RNA from 1 species
GUCGAGCUUGGUAACGCGGGCUUGUGAUCCGAGUGGAGACAACAAGAUGUUGGAACUAUGGGCCGAUCUCAUUAUUUCCGCAACGCGUGUCGCACACUCCAAGUAGCUUUGUUGAGUCCUUCCACCUUU